GGGGAGUCCAACGGGUGUGAAGGAAAGUGAGGCUGAUCCCUCCCCUCGCCUCUGUGAAGUUAAGGUAUUAUUAUUAUGGUUUAUUACCGGCAUGCCCACUGAGCCAAAUGUCGGCUAGUGGUUAGCAUGGCGUUGGUAGUUUUGUGGGCAGUAUUGGUUGGGACGAGAGGGGAGGGCACAUGCCCAGGUGAGUUCCGAGGUUAAUGAUAAUUGAUUGGCAAGGACCAAAAUAUUGGUGAAAUAUUGUAAUUAAAAAAACUAUUUCCACACGUCACAGAAUGUUUUGCUGUAACAUGCCAGCUUUAUAAACAAAGAUAAAAUCCAAGCUUUGACCCGGCUGC